CUUUUUAAAGGCACUGAAUACGUCUCUGUUCUGCUUUAAAAUGAGAUCUAUCUAGAUAUGUACUAAAUGGUCAGAGACAGGAAAAAAUAUAGUUUUGGUCCUUCCGAUUUCUAGCCCAGUUAACAAAGAGGCGCACACUGGGUAAUGCAGAAACAUUGACUCACAAGAAUUCCCUUAGUCAUUUAGGACACCCAGAGAAUACAGUGCAUAUAGAUGUGUGUGUUGUACAUUCAAU